rnacentral:rRNA from 1 species
CCUACGGGUGGCAGCAGUCGAGAAUCAUUCACAAUGGGGGAAACCCUGAUGGGGCGACGCCGCGUGGGGGAAUGAAGGUCUUCGGAUUGUAAACCCCUGUCAUGUGGGAGCAAAUUAAAAAGAUAGUACCACAAGAGGAAGAGACGGCUAACUCUGUGCCAGCAGCCGCGGUAAUACAGAGGUCUCAAGCGUUGUUCGGAAUCACUGGGCGUAAGGCGUGCGUAGGCUGUUUCGUAAGUCGGGUGUGAAAGGCGCGGGCUCAACCCGCGGACGGCACAUGAUACUGCGAGACUAGAGUAAUGGAGGGGGAACCGGAAUUCUCGGUGUAGCAGUGAAAUGCGUAGAUAUCGAGAGGAACACUCGUGGCGAAGGCGGGUUCCUGGACAUUAACUGACGCUGAGGCACGAAGGCCAGGGGAGCGAAAGGGAUUAGAUACCCCAGUAGUC